rnacentral:rRNA from 1 species
GACAGAGGGGGCAAGCGUUGCUCGGAAUCACUGGGCGUAAAGGGCGCGUAGGCGGGAUGGCAAGUCAGUCGUGAAAUCUCUCGGCUCAACCGAGAAACGUCGGCUGAUACUGCCGUUCUUGAGGGAUGCAGAGGAGACUGGAAUUCCCGGUGUAGCGGUGAAAUGUGUAGAGAUCGGGAGGAACACCGGUGGCGAAGGCGGGUCUCUGGGCAUCUCCUGACGCUGAGGAGCGAAAGCAUGGGGAGCGAACAGG